CCUACGGGGGGCUGCAGUGGGGAAUAUUGGACAAUGGGGGGAACCCUGAUCCAGCCAUGCCGCGUGUGUGAAGAAAGCCCUCGGGUUGUAAAGCACUUUCAGUGAGGAAGAACGCCUGGUGGUUAAUACCCAUCAGGAAAGACAUCACUCACAGAAGAAGCACCGGCUAACUCCGUGCCAGCAGCCGCGGUAAUACGGAGGGUGCGAGCGUUAAUCGGAAUUACUGGGCGUAAAGCGCGCGUAGGUGGCUUGAUAAGCCGGUUGUGAAAGCCCCGGGCUCAACCUGGGAACGGCAUCCGGAACUGUCAAGCUAGAGUGCAGGAGAGGAAGGUAGAAUUCCCGGUGUAGCGGUGAAAUGCGUAGAGAUCGGGAGGAAUACCAGUGGCGAAGGCGGCCUUCUGGACUGACACUGACACUGAGGUGCGAAAGCGUGGGUAGCAAACAGGAUUAGAUACCCCAGUAGUC
rnacentral:rRNA from 1 species